CAGUAGCCGCGGGAAUACGUAGGGUGCGAGCGUUAAUCGGAAUUACUGGGCGUAAAGCGUGCGUAGGCGGUUGUUUAAGUCUGUUGUGAAAUCCCCGGGCUCAACCUGGGAAUGGCAAUGGAAACUGGACGGCUAGAGUGUGUCAGAGGAUGGUGGAAUUCCCGGUGUAGCGGUGAAAUGCGUAGAUAUCAGGAGGAACACCUGUGGCGAAAGCGGCUCACUGGACCAUAACUGACGCUGAGGCACGAAAGCUAGGGGAGCAAACAGGAUUAGAUACCCCGGUAGUCCCUGUCUCUUAUAU
rnacentral:rRNA from 1 species